CAGCCGCCGCGGUAAUACGAAGGGGGCUAGCGUUGUUCGGAAUUACUGGGCGUAAAGCGCACGUAGGCGGAUAUUUAAGUCAGGGGUGAAAUCCCAGAGCUCAACUCUGGAACUGCCUUCGAUACUGGGUAUCUUGAGUAUGGAAGAGGUUAGUGGAAUUGCGAGUGUAGAGGUGAAAUUCGUAGAUAUUCGCAGGAACACCAGUGGCGAAGGCGGCUAACUGGUCCAUAACUGACGCUGAGGUGCGAAAGCGUGGGGAGCAAACAGGAUUAGAUACCCCCGUAGUCCCUGUCUCUUAUAC
rnacentral:rRNA from 1 species